GGGCUUGUGGUUUAGUGGUAUAAUGUUCCCUUAGCAUUAACUUUCCUGGGAGAGGUCCGGCGUUCGAUUCGCCGCUAGUCCA